UCUUAACUAACUAUUUGGCUUUGUAAUAAUUCAUCCGAUUUUCUUUUUGGAUUUUCGACCGCCCUUGCCCCACAGUGCAGGUAACCCCGGAGAAACGACUGUAUUUGGGACCGAAAAAAUGACCCAAAGCAAGGCGUAAGUCGAUACCCGACAGACAAAGAGAACGAAAUUUUCGGGCGAGGGGUAGGUAGAAACACGCGGUGGGGGUCCGGCCCAAGCACGGAUCCGAAGUCCGUUGUUUUGGGCUGAGAAUUAAAAAUGGCGGAUGGAGCGCUACCACGGAGAGAAUGCGCUCUCUUGCUUGCCUUUAAAAUACACGAGGCGCUCUCGCUGUAAAGAACGCUCGCUCGCGCUGUUUCAUCGUAUUUUCUUCAUACCCCUUCCUUCCCGUUUCUUUCGGCUUGCGCAGCGCUGAACUGGUACCCCCUCCCACUUGAUUCCAGCGAAUUGCGCUGCGCUGGACUGACACCCCCUCCCGCUCGUUUCUUUCGUAGCGCGCUGUGCGCUUUCCUUCAUUCGGACUUGGUACACCCGAAUCAAAACAAAAACUUGAACACAUCAAACUUGGUUUAUAUUUUAUCACUUUUAUUGCAAAUAAAGGGGCAUUUUCACACAUAGCUUCACACAAUCUUGCCACAAAAUCACACAAAUUCUUAAUAUAAAAAAAUCGUCGUAUUUCAAAGAGCCGUCUAACUGCGUGGAUCCCGUUCGACACAGCAAAAAUGGAUUCGAUGUUCGAUACAGCAAAAAUAAACAUUGAAAUAAAGCAGCGCAUAUCACACAUUUAAGAUAAAUGGUGAAAGAAAAGCGCAGCUUCAUUUCAAUGUGCACAACACUUCAACACUUAGCGAAGCUUCGAUCGUCCGGGACUUAGGCUAACACGCGCGCAGCCUUUCACGGCGAACGCUUGAGCUGAACUGACGAUUUCGUGUGGUGGCAAGAAGGGGAGCGCACAGAGGAACACUCGCUGCACUAGUGCGAGCGAGACACCGAUACCCGCAUGCCGCUGCGAGAAAACCAAACUGAGCGCGCAGGCUGAAAGUGAACGCACACAUUCACACAUGUGUAAUUGUGUGAGUGCAAAAACUGUGUAGAAACCAAAACACGCUCGCGCCUCCGAGCAAUUCCGCGAAUUUCCAACCGUCUCCCCAUGCUUCUACAUGCCCCUCGCCUGAAAGUCACACACUUUUUCAUUCUCAUUGCUAGUAGGGUAUAGACCCCGACAGACAAAGAGAACGAAAUUUUCAGGCGAGGGGUAGGCAGAAACACGCGGUGGGGGUCCGGCCCAAGCACGGAUCCGAAGUCCGUUGUUUUGGGCUGAGAAUUAAAAAUGGCGGAUGGAGCGCUACCACGGAGAGAAUGCGAUCUCUUGCUUGCCUUUAAAAUACACGAGGCGCUCUCGCUGUAAAGAACGCUCGCUCGCGCUGUUUCAUAGUAUUUUCCUCAUACCCCUUCCUUCCCGUUUCUUUCGGCUUGCGCAGCGCUGAACUGGUACCCCCUCCCACUUGAUUCCAGCGAAUUGCGCUGCGCUGGACUGACACCCCCUCCCGCUCGUUUCUUUCGUAGCGCGCUGUGCGCUUUCCUUCAUUCGGACUUGGUACACCCGAAUCAAAACAAAAACUUGAACACAUCAAACUUGGUUUAUAUUUUAUCACUUUUAUUGCAAAUAAAGGGGCAUUUUCACACAUAGCUUCACACAAUCUUGCCACAAAAUCACACAAAUUCUUAAUAUAAAAAAAUCGUCGUAUUUCAAAGAGCCGUCAAACUGCGUGGAUCCCGUUGUUCAUGUUCGAUACAGCAAAAAUAAACAUUGAAAUAAAGCAGCGCAUAUCACACAUUUAAGAUAAAUGGUGAAAGAAAAGCGCAGCUUCAUUUCAAUGUGCACAACACUUCAACACUUAGCGAAACUUCGAUCGCCCGGGACUUAGGCUAACACGCGCGCAGCCUUUCACGGCGAACGCUUGAGCUGAACUGACGAUUUCCCAAGUAGCAGAGCCGAAGUUUUUCAGAGAUUUUUCUGUGUGCCAAAGCGAGAUGCCCUGUCUUCUCUCUCUAGAUUUUGGACAGCAAACCGCUGCGCGUGUAGAGGUGUGUGCGUGUGACGAACAACGAUGGAUGAAAAACGCGAGGAGCGGGGUCCGAAGUCUUUCGUUGGUCACACACACACAUCCAUCUACCGUUGGAUUGCGCUACAUCGAGUCUACCCAUCUCUCUCGAUCUACCAUGAUUUUUUCUGCUAUCGCACUCAUCUGGGAGUUAGGCAUCCUCAGUCUGCCCAGAACUUUCGUUGUGGAAGGAUGUGCGGGAGUGAUGUGCGAUUUCUUGUGUCCCCUACUUUCCUUGUUUAUGUUUUGCGCAGUGUUGCUUCUUCUUCCAUUGUGGAAUGAUUUAUCCUAGCAAAUUGUUGAGUUACAGGUGCAUGCGCCAUUCAUCAACGCCUACCUGUUGGCAUCAUCAACAAUCUUUAUAGUAGGUGACGGAAAGAAAUUGUUUUCCAGUUUUUAAAUAUUAAGCGUUCAGCACAACUCAGCCACAAAACAACGCACUGGAUUGCGCUAAGAACCUGUCGAAACGCGCGCAGCCCCCGGGAGCGGUAGGAGAAAGGAAGAACGAGAGGAGAAAAAACUAAAGCCAGCGCGCAGCUCUGAUGGUACCCCGUACGCGGUAAGAAGAAAAAAGAUCGAGAGGAGGAAUAACGGUAAAUUUGGAAGGGGGAGACCGUUCUGCCGUCUCCACAGUGUGAGUAUGCCAAAGCACGUGUUGGAAGGGAAAGAAAAAGUGUGGAAUAAACCGCAUGCGAAUGUGUGCAUACAGCAAAAGUAAACAUGUGUGCCUCAUCAUUUCUAUAAGCAAUCCGAAAAGGGGGUGGAGCAAACACAUUGGUAUGCGUGAGAUGCAGAAUAAAUCGGAGCGUUAUAGUAUGUGUGAACGCGAUCGUUCGGGUCGAAUGUGUCUAUGUGUGCGUGAAACCAUAUUUACACUUCUACUGCAAGUGGGUACGUAAGUGGGGCCAUAUGUGUACGACACGAUCCCAUACAAAACUUCGGCUUUUGCGGACUGGGUUCGUGUGGUGGCAAGAAGGGGAGCGCACAGAGGAACACUCGCUGCACUAGUGCGAGCGAGACACCGAUACCCGCAUGCCGCUGCGAGAAAACCAAACUGAGCGCGCAGGCUGAAAGUGAACGCACACAUUCACACAUGUGUAAUUGUGUGAGUGCAAAAACUGUGUAGAAACCAAAACACGCUCGCGCCUCCCAAGUAGCAACCGAAGCUUUUUUCUCCCAGUUUCAACCCCCUCAUGUCCAAAAACUGCCUUCGCUUACUAUUCCUAUCCCGUUUCUACAUUCCACAACGUUUGUUGCGUUCUCGCUCAUCAGGGUGUUAGUCAAUUCUCUCUUGCCACACGAAGAGAAUUCUCCUGCACACUUCGUAUGUUGGAUUCUACCCAUCCCUGUUGAACACACGUCAUUUUCUUCCAUCGCACUCAUCAGGGUGUUUGCUCUUUUCCAUCCAAGCCAAAGAGCGACUUCAGUGUGCUCUGAACCGUGGAUGUGAGAGUGUGUGUUUGUGUGCUGCGUGAACUAUUUUUCCUGCGUGAAACACUUUCCAUACUGCGCCAUCCGCGGUGUUCUUUCUGCUUCAUCGGAGGACGAAUUUUUAUCAUCUAAUUGUUUGGGUAAGUGUCCUUUUCUAAGUGUCUAGUGCUAUGUGACAUUUAUUCUAAUUCUAAUAUUAUUCUAAUAUGCAAUGUUUUGCACAUUACAAGUUUCAGAUGUGUGCUGCUACCGCUAGCUGUUCCUAAAACUACUUAAAAAGUGUGACACUGUGUGCACAGGCGUUAGAGUUUCAAUUGAUCCUCAAGCACAAAGCCUUCAUACAACACCGCGGUUGAGGCGCGCCAAAUCUGAUGACAUCUUUCCUGAACCAAGCAGGCUGAACACGCGCACCACCACGGGCUCCAGCGCGGUGUGAAGAGGGAAGAAGAAAAGGCAGAAUUGGAAACAGCCGCGCCAGGCUUCCAACCACCGUGUGUGUGUAUGUAAGUAUGUGAGAACACAUGUGUGAAUCUUCUUGUGGGAACUGCAAAAAGAAGAGAAUAAAGAGUGUGAAGCAGCUAGACUGCCGCAACCAAAUCAAGAGAGUGAAUUCUCAUUUCAAUCCGAAAAACUGGGAGAGAGUGAUGACAUGCGAGAGAGAAUAAAACUAGAAACACGAGAGAGGACACGAAGCGCUUUCGGGUUUUUUUUCGCCUUCGCGCACAUUUUGCUUUAUGCGCGCGAAAAAGUGAGCCUUGAUCAGCGCGAUGGCUCCCAUACAAAGGCCUUCGGCUUUGCUAUCUGGGCUCCGAGCAAUUCCGCGAAUUUCCAACCGUCUCCCCAUGCUUCUACAUGCCCCUCGCCUGAAAGUCGCACACUUUUUCAUUCUCAUUGCUAGUAGGGACGUAUGUAGAAUAUCUGGGAAUUAAAGUUGUGGUAGGUUCGGCGCGCACUUUGCUUACCAGAACCGUGUGCGGUAAAUCGAUUCGCGGAAUGCCCAGAUAGCAAAGCCGAAGGCCUUUGUAUGGGAGCCAUCGCGCUGAUCAAGGCUCACUUUUUCGCGCGCAUAAAGCAAAAAGUGCGCGAAG